ACACGCUUCGGAGCAUACACACGGAGCAGUCGCGUUCGCGCGCUCUCAAUCACCCAUGCUCUGAGGAAAGUCCCCGGGCACUACGGCAGAAAGUGCCACCCGUAAAGGUUAGGUCCCCGCGGCGGUGGGAAGACGAAGAGGGCUUCGGCCUGAGGUUCCCCCCGCCGCGGAUCCGGCCAUAGGGUACAGUGAUGCGUGUCGCGGCCUUCGGGCCGUUGAACAGAACGGGGCUUACUCUGGCG
rnacentral:RNase_MRP_RNA from 13 species